GAUGAACGCUGGCGGCGUGCCUAAUACAUGCAAGUCGAGCGAACGGACGAGAAGCUUGCUUCUCUGAUGUUAGCGGCGGACGGGUGAGUAACACGUGGAUAACCUACCUAUAAGACUGGGAUAACUUCGGGAAACCGGAGCUAAUACCGGAUAAUAUUUUGAACCGCAUGGUUCAAAAGUGAAAGACGGCCUUGCUGUCACUUAUAGAUGGAUCCGCGCUACAUUAGCUAGUUGGUAAGGUAACGGCUUACCAAGGCAACGAUGCAUAGCCGACCUGAGAGGGUGAUCGGCCACACUGGAACUGAGACACGGUCCAGACUCCUACGGGAGGCAGCAGUAGGGAAUCUUCCGCAAUGGGCGAAAGCCUGACGGAGCAACGCCGCGUGAGUGAUGAAGGUCUUCGGAUCGUAAAACUCUGUUAUUAGGGAAGAACAUAUGUGUAAGUAACUGUGCACAUCUUGACGGUACCUAAUCAGAAAGCCACGGCUAACUACGUG
rnacentral:rRNA from 1 species